rnacentral:rRNA from 1 species
UACGAAGGGGGCUAGCGUUGCUCGGAAUUACUGGGCGUAAAGCGCACGUAGGCGGCUCUUUAAGUCGGGGGUGAAAUCCUGGAGCUCAACUCCAGAACUGCCUUCGAUACUGAAGAGCUCGAGUCCGGGAGAGGUGAGUGGAACUGCGAGUGUAGAGGUGAAAUUCGUAGAUAUUCGCAAGAACACCAGUGGCGAAGGCGGCUC